UACGUAGGGUGCGAGCGUUAAUCGGAAUUACUGGGCGUAAAGCGUGCGCAGGCGGCUUCGCAAGUCAGACGUGAAAUCCCCGGGCUUAACCUGGGAAUGGCGUUUGAAACUACGGAGCUGGAGUAUGGCAGAGGGGGGUGGAAUUCCACGUGUAGCGGUGAAAUGCGUAGAGAUGCGGAGGAACACCAGUGGCGAAAGCGGCUUUCUGGUCCUUAACUGACGCUGAGGCGCGAAAGCAUGGGGAGCGAACGGG
rnacentral:rRNA from 1 species